rnacentral:lncRNA from 1 species
UUCAGCUCACUUUGCAAAUAUCCAUUAAAUACCUGCCAUGUACCAAGUGUUUUUCAACACCUAAAGGAAGGUAGGACUUGAUAUGAGAGCCCUCUAGAAUUCUUAUUGUUUAGGCCUCUUUCUUUGUCUCAGGGUGUCCAGGGUGGUCGAGCCAAACGCUAUUCAUCCCAGCGGCAAAGACCUGUGCCAGAGCCCCCCGCCCCUCCAGUGCAUAUCAGUAUCAUGGAGGGACAUUACUAUGAUCCACUGCAGUUCCAGGGACCAAUCUAUACCCAUGGUGACAGCCCUGCCCCGCUGCCUCCACAGGGCAUGCUUGUGCAGCCAGGAAUGAACCUUCCCCACCCAGGUAAGCUUUGUGUCUCUGCUUAUAUGCUUCCAGUACCUGAGGAUAUAUGUUGGGAGUGCCACAAAACCCAUCCUCCUGAGCUUUGUGCUGCUAGCCUGGGAGUCUGGCCAUCCUGGCUGCUUGGGCAACAAGUUCCUCUUGUGUCCAUCCUGAGGACUUCCAUUCUGAGCC